rnacentral:ncRNA from 15 species
UUAAGACCUCAAAUCAG